rnacentral:rRNA from 1 species
AGUCACUCUGCCCAUUGAAUUUUAAAGGCUGCGGUAGUUUGACCGUACAAAGGUAGCAAAAUCAAUAGUUUUUUAAUUGAAAACUGGAAUGAAUGAGUUAAUGAAAUAAUAAUUGUUUCAAAAAUAGAAUUUGAAUAUUAAGUUAAAAUGCUUAAAUUUAUUUAUUAGACGAUAAGACCCUAAGAAUUUAAUAAAAUUUUUAAUUAUUAAGUUAUAAUUAAUAAAAUUAUAUUUAAUUGGGAGGAUUUUUAAAUUAAACUUUAAAAUUAAAUAACAUAGAUUAAUGAGUAAGUGAUUAUUAUUAUAAUUAGAAGAAAAAAUUACCUUAGGGAUAACAGCGUAAUAUUUUUGGAGAGAUCUUAUUGAUAAAAAUGUUUGCGACCUCGAUGUUGAAUUAUGAUAUAAUUUAAAUGUAGGAGUUUAAAUUGUUAGUCUGUUCGACUAUUAAAAUCAUAC